GGGGUUCUUUUUUGCCUUUUAAAAAAUAAAUAAAUUAAUUAAAACCCCUUGGAAUUUCCAUAUUAUAAAGAGGAAGAGACUUCUCUUCGAUAUUAUGGUGCCAUUAACAUCUAUUAAUAAUGCAGACAGGGUAAGUAGCUAGAGUUGGAGCUCCCUGGGGGCCUCGUAAAACAGAUGUGCGCUGUAUCUUCCCGGAUUUGAUAGCUGCUGGGGUCGAGGGGGUCGCUGUGAUUCCCAUUUAUUUCCUCUGGCAGCGGUUUUCUAAUUUAAGCACCUCUGUCUCCUGGCUACAGUUGCCUGCUGCGAUGUGGAGGGGGUGUUCACGCAUUGUCAUGCCUGCUGCCAGAAAAAGGGGGCACAAGCUUAGUGGCCCUGCCUCAGCAUUGCCUGUCCAGCUCACUGACUCUCAGCGCUCUCUUCAGAUGCCUUUUCUGUUUAAGGUGGUGGAACCGGGCUCUUUUGUUGGGUUUAUUUUGCAAGAGAUAUCAAGGUAGAAUAGUAAACCAAGCUAGAAGCAAAAUUUUCUGCUUAGGGAACUUUGCUGAAUGUAAAAAUACAUUGCGAGAAGUCUGGCUUCCACCUUCUUUGGGAAACAAAGGAAAGAUCCUCUUUCCUUUUGACUGUUCUGCUUUUGUGCGAGAUACUGCAAACCUCUAACCAGGAUCCGUACUGUAGCUGCUUAUGAUAACCUCCAGCAUGUUGAUGUGAGGGGAGGAGCAGAAAUCUUAACAGCUCGCACUCCAGACACCCACGCUGAUUGCAAUAGAGGAAACUUUGUACAGCAGCAAAACAAAAUAGUAAAUAGAGAGUCAGGAAUUGUGAAAAUGUGGCAAGUUAUAAUUAUGAAGAGGAUGUGCAUUGAGCUGAAUGCUUCUUUGUAUGUGACACAAGUGAGAUUAUUUGCAGGGGGAAAAUCCUCAAAUUUAUGUAUUUCAUUUACUUUUUGCAAAUGUUUGUUUCUGUGUUUCCUAAUUUCUGAUUGACUUCAAAAGGAGGGCAUUCUUCUCUUGUUUAAAAGUCAGGUCCAAGGACAAAAAGAUGCAGCAUUGGUAGCGACAGCUGAAGAGCAGCAGUGAUUCUCUGAGGAUGUAAUUUUCCCCAUUUUUCUCUUCUGUUCAAGUCAGAUACACACAAUCAUACAUAUAUUUCUAUGCGGCUUUGUACAUGGCAGCAUGGUUGUGGAUGCGCCUCGGAGUCUGCAGGGGUUCAACAUGCAGGCAAAGUCACUCUCCUGACACUGUAGCUGCUUUGCUCUGACCUUCCCUCAAGGGCACCUGUUAUCCCAAAGUCACACAGAAGAAGAUAGAUAGAGAAUAAUUCCAAUCAUCAAAGAGAUGGUUUAACUGACUUCUCAUCUUGGUAGAUCGCCAUGAUUGGAGUGCCAUUUCCCAAAAGACUGCAGAAUUUCUUGUUUGUUUGCCAUGUAGGAAGUGCAACGUGGAUUGUAGUUAAGCAGAUGGAGUACUGU